UACAGAGGGUGCGAGCGUUAAUCGGAAUUACUGGGCGUAAAGCGUGCGUAGACGGUAGCGUAAGUCAGAUGUGAAAGCCCCGGGCUCAACCUGGGAAUUGCAUUUGAGACUGCUCUGCUUGGGUGCGGAAGAGGGAAGCGGAAUUUCCGGUGUAGCGGUGAAAUGCGUAGAUAUCGGAAGAACACCAGUGGCGAAAGCGGACUUCCUGGUCCGAC
rnacentral:rRNA from 1 species